rnacentral:pre_miRNA from 1 species
UGUGUACUCCCUCCGUUCCAAAAUACUUGACUUCCAUUUGUCCAAAAUGGAUGUACCUAUAUACUAAAACAUGUCUAGAUACAUCUAUAUUUUGAUAAAUAGAAGGCAUGUAUUGUGGAAUGGAGGGAGUAGAAU